GACGAACGCUGGCGGCGUGCCUAAUACAUGCAAGUCGAACGGUCUUUUCUAUGGAAGCUUGCUUCCACUGAGAAGGUAGUGGCGGACGGGUGAGUAACACGUGGGUAACCUGCCCAUAAGAGGGGGAUAACAUCCGGAAACGGGUGCUAAUACCGCAUAGUUUUCUUGAUCGCAUGAUUGAGAAAGGAAAGACGGCCUUUGUGCUGUCGCUUAUGGAUGGACCCGCGGCGUAUUAGUUAGUUGGUGAGGUAAUGGCUCACCAAGACGAUGAUACGUAGCCGACCUGAGAGGGUGAUCGGCCACAUUGGGACUGAGACACGGCCCAAACUCCUACGGGAGGCAGCAGUAGGGAAUCUUCCGCAAUGGACGAAAGUCUGACGGAGCAACGCCGCGUGAGUGAAGAAGGUUUUCGGAUCGUAAAACUCUGU
rnacentral:rRNA from 1 species